AGUGAACGCUGGCGGUAGGCCUAACACAUGCAAGUCGAACGGCAGCACAGUAAGAGCUUGCUCUUACGGGUGGCGAGUGGCGGACGGGUGAGGAAUACAUCGGAAUCUACUUUUUCGUGGGGGAUAACGUAGGGAAACUUACGCUAAUACCGCAUAUGACCUACGGGUGAAAGCAGGGGAUCUUCGGACCUUGCGCGAUUGAAUGAGCCGAUGUCGGAUUUGCUGGUUGGCGGGGUAAAGGCCCACCAAGGCGACGGUCCGUAGCUGGGCUGAGAGGAUGAUCAGCCACACUGGAAGUGAGCCACGGUCCAGAGUCGUACGGGAGGCAGCAGUGGGGAAUAUUGGACAAAGGGCGGAAGCCUGAUCCAGCCAUACCGCGUGGGUGAAGAAGGCCUUCGGGUUGUAAAGCCCUUUUGUUGGGAAAGAAAAGCAGCAGGUUAAUACCCCGCUGUUCUGACGGUACCCAAAGAAUAAGCACCGGCUAACUUCGU
rnacentral:rRNA from 1 species